rnacentral:lncRNA from 1 species
GGGGAAUGUAAAAGUGGCUCAUUUUUUUUGUGUCGUUUUGCAAGGCAAACGUGGAGUGUGAUAUAUUUUACUUUGACUGAUGAACCGUUUAAAACAUGAUGUAUUAGCAUAUGUGAGGAAUGAAUGAAUAAUAAACAGUAAUCAGCAUAUUAAAGAAAUAAUCAUCCAAAAAUCUAAAUUAUGUCAUUAUUACCCACAUUUUUCAACUCAAAAAUGAACAUUCUGAACAACAUUCUGAAAUGAACAAUUUCCUUUUUAUUUUUUUUUAUUUUUUAUUUUUUUGGCUGGAUUAUGCCUUUAAGAUAUGCAUUCCCCCGUUAAAGGGACAGUUCAUCCAAAAACUUUUUUAUCAUAAUUUUCAACUGUAUGAAUUUCUUUCUUCUGUUAAAUGCAAGCAGAAAUAUUUUGAAGAAUGUUGGUAACCAAACACUUGCUGGCAGUGGCGGCUCAUGGGUUUUAAAAUAGAGGAGGCACACUAAUUGUAUUGGUCUGGGAUCCCGGCCAAUUAUUAUUAUUAUUAUUAUUAUUAUUUGCUUAACUACUUUAAAUGACUUUUGGUUGCUUUAGUCAGAAAGCGUAAAGAAAACGACACAUAGUGAUAAUAUAUCACUUACCUGGCCUAUCACUUGAAGCAAACAUCCAUCCCUUCUUAAAAGUCUGUGUUAAAAGAGAGCUGCCUGUUGUGCUAUUUAAUUAAGCUGACUGCUGUAGCCUAUAUCCAGCUUAGGCGUGUUCUAGCUCCCUUUAUUUUUUAUUGUAUAUAUACUGUUUCAAUGACAGCUUGGUAAAUCUGUUGGCGAUCAAAUAUUCAAUAACGCUACUCAUCAUAACCUACUUGGUACAUUAUCAGUGCAGCACGAGAAGUUCAAACUAAUAGCACAUAAUUUACGUCUCUAUGAUGAUUGGUUGAUAUCUGAAGGGAGGCUAGCCUCCUCUACGAGGUUUCUUUAUUCAACACUCCUCAUCGCUGAAAGUGAACACUCGAUGCUGAUUGGCUAUUUUUUUUUUUUUUUACCAACAGAGGCAUGAUAGCUCAACUCUCCCCCGGCCUCCCCCUCCCCUUCCCCUUCUCUAUCACCUAGCGGUUGUAAAUACAUCAGAAAAUUCAGCACAUUUGUGAUAGAAAAGCGGCGCUUUCCAACUUCAGUAACAUGUUAUGGUAUUACAGCUGUGAAAUUACAAACAAAACACAUUCUGAGACAUGAACUGCAAUGAAUUGUGAAUUUUAUUAACAUUAAAUAGUCCUC